AGUGAACGCUGGCGGUAGGCCUAACACAUGCAAGUCGAACGGCAGCACAGUAAGAGCUUGCUCUUACGGGUGGCGAGUGGCGGACGGGUGAGGAAUACAUCGGAAUCUACUCUUUCGUGGGGGAUAACGUAGGGAGACUUACGCUAAUACCGCAUACGACCUACGGGUGAAAGCAGGGGAUCUUCGGACCUUGCGCGAUUGAAUGAGCCGAUGUCGGAUUAGCUAGUGGGGGGGGUAAUGGCCCACCAAGGCGACGAUCCGUAGCUGGACUGAGAGGAUGGUCGGCCACACUGGAGCUGGGACACGGUCCAGACUACUGCGGGAGGCAGCAGUGGGGAAUAUUAGACAGUGGGCGCGAGCCUGAUCCAGUGGUACCGAGUGGGUGGAGGAGGCGUUCGGGUUGUAAAGCCCUUUUGUUGGGAAAGAAAAGCAGCCGGUUAAUACCCCGCGGUUCUGACGGUACCCAAUGAAUAAGCACCGGCUAACUUCGUG
rnacentral:rRNA from 1 species